CCCCUCCAUUCGACAGAGCUAGCGUGGAUUUACAUCGGGGGGCAAAGGGAAGGUCUCUUCAGGUGGCGCCCAUCGCGGGGCUUUAGAAGCCCUCCGGACGGCUGGAAAACACCCCGCGGGUGUUUUAACAAGCCUAGGGAACGUCAUCUACCCCGCAGUUUUUCUGACGGGGUUUGGGUUGGUAGCUCGGUGGCUACACGAGUCAACUCAGACCGAGAACCAUUUUUUUCUUUUCUUUUCUUCGAACACCGCGCAUCCUUCAGGAAACAGCAACUUGGUGUUUGUAGCUUUGACGGCCAAGAAGAACCCCGUUGAUCUCCUAUAAGAUAGAAGUUCAUUGGAUGACAGAAAAACACAAACCAUAUGUUGUUACUCAUCUGUAAUUAGAGUGACCACAUGAAAAUAAUUUAGUGGUCAGCUACUGGUACUGUAAUAUGGAGUUUUCUGGAAGAAAGCUGUUGGUAGUGGUUAAGAAAGGAGAAGUGCAAGCCAUGCAAGAGAUAUUUGUAUUUCAGGCAAGUGGGCAAUUUCUACAUUUGACUUAGUCAUUUAUAAUCCCUAUAUAUCUCAGCUAACCUGCUGGAUAGCUGUUCUUAGGAAAUGCCUAAGUCUUUCAAAGAGCCUUAAACUUACUUAAACUUUGUGGUGCAGAAAGACUUCUGAAAGCUGAUGGAAACAGUUCUCACUCUAUACUACAAAAUGUGUGAGACAAGCUAUGGCUUCAUCAUCAGAUUUCAGCACCUGUUCUCCAUGGGCAGUGUGAUUUAAUGCAUGUGUCAGAAGGGUGCCAGCAUAAAUAGCAUAAAACUGACAAGGAGAAAUUGGAGACUUGAUCACAACCUCAAGUGUAACAAAUUCCUAUAGGAAAUAAGAACUCAGCUUCCCCACGUGGAAGCCAAAGCAUGACACAAGCAAAUCCCUUGCUUUAUGUUGACACUUGAUUUGAAUUCAAUAUCCUGUAUGAACAUUGUCUAUUUUCUUUAAUAAAUAUAGUCAUAAUAAUAAGGGAUUCA
rnacentral:lncRNA from 1 species